GCUUUGAAGCAGCAAGCUGAAAUCUCAGACUGCUCUGUAGAUGAAUAUGUACGUGAAAUGCCACAGCUGUAAAAUGAGAAGUUCACUAAGUGUUUUGCCUGAAUAAAGACAGGAAAAAGGUGCCCAGACAGUGAAUUCACUCCCCACACCACCUGGAUUAGCCACCCAAAGGCAAAAUGGUAAUUCCCUUCAAACCCCAUGUGUAUCCAGGAUAAUUUCAGAAACCUAUAGCACCAUCCUAGCCUAACAGGAACCCAACUUUGCUGCUCUGUGAAUCGAGGAAACCUCUAAAUGGAACAUGGUUCAUUGAAAGUGAAAUUUCCUUGGUGCCAUCUUUGAGUCAUGGGUACCUCCUCUUCAACAUCAUCUGCAAAAUUCUGUGCAAGGCAACAACUUAUUUAAUGUUGUCUGAUAUAAGCAUAAAGGAGAGACUGCAACUGGGAUGUUUACACUGCCGUUGCAGAUUGUACAGGAAAUAAAUUAUGCAGACAUAGAUACUUAAUGCAGCAGUAAUAAUGUUAGCUAGAAAGCCUCACUUUGAAUUUGAAAGGAAAAUAGAAGACACCAGAGUAAGGAGAUUGGCCAAAAGAUUCUAUCAACUGUUAGUCCGUGUAAGCCAGAGUCCUAUUAGUCUCCAGCUAUGCUUCUGAGUCAGCUUGCUGGAUUAGGAGUGCCAGAUUCUGCUUUGCCUCUUAGUGCAUGUCAAUAUUGGAACAAGCCGUAAAAAGGCAGGUUCUGUUUCACAAAUACCUCCGAGUCUUUCAAAACUUUUGAAACCUUCUGAAGCCUGUAACCAGCUAUGGCUGUUGAAACCUCUGCUUGCAGAGUGGAAAGAUAUCAGUAUGAAGAGCCCUCCCCUGCAGAGCUGUCUCUCCUGGACAUCUCUGGAAGCUGAAGCCUACGGAGACAACAUGACACAGUCCAGGCAUACAAGUCAGUGUGAAAUGCAAAGAGGUAAGGCUGCAGCUUUUCUCCCCCGGAGGAGGAGAUGUGGCAUACCCUGUUUCCCUGACAGUUGUGCAGUGUUGUGCAUGGCAACUUUGGAUGCUGAUUCUUCUCUCCAGAGCAGUGCUGUCUAAGACACAUCUUCCUGACUCCACAGAGUCUCAGCCCUGCUUUCUUUUAUGCAGCAGAAUUAGCAGGCAGUGGAUUCAGACCCUCAGCGUCACAUUUUCAUUGAUAUUUGUGGCAAGCACUGUCCUUCCUUGUUCCCUUGUUCUAACUGGUCUGUCUAUUGUUUAAAUGUGCAAUAUAAGAGCGAUGAAAACAGUGGCAAACUAUGAGAAUUCAAUAAAACUGUCUCCAUUGUGAUUUGAGUAGGAUGAUGAGCUAGAGUGAAGGUACAACUAACUAACUCCAGUGUGAUGCCCACUUGGGAUGGAUUCCUGCCUUUCCCUCACUCCACUGCCUCUUACUCCUGUCCUUGCCUGUUCCUUAGCCUUCCAUAAAACUUGGGGGAAAAAGGUGUGGUCUUACGUUUAUUCUGCAAGGUUAGUGAGUGGAACUGGCUUAUGGAGGUGGAGAUUGGAAGGACUAGGGUGGAGGUUGAAAUGCAUGGCUAAAACCAGGAUUUGCACAGCCAGGAUAGGAGAGGUAGAAAGAAGAAAAAUGACUAUGGAGCCUGGAAGGGGAUAAAAAGCCUUGCCUGUUUAGUGAAGGGAAUAUAUUUGAUCAGUUAACUGGAACUGUGGUCCCUGUGUUUAACCUUAAUUAUUUCUGCUUCCACUCUCUCAUCCAUUAGUCAGGCUCUUCUAAUUAAUAAGGCCUUCACAGAAGGGAAUGUGCAUAAUUGUGCAGAGUGGACUCUGAGAUACUGGGGAACACUGAUGCAGUAAGUCUAGGAGGUCCAGCUCAAGUAUUGGUAACUGUUGGAUUGUUUCCUUUGUUUAAAUGAUUGUGGCUCUUUUUAGAGUGCAUAGAGUGAUAUCCUCUCUUGUUUGAAGAAAAUAGGACAUUCUGUUUUUCUAGGUAACCUGCACUCUGCAAAAUGAGCAGAACUAACAGGUAGAGAACUUCCUGACUUGUGAAGCAGAAGCUGGGUGAAAAACAGAAGUGAAUUGGAGCAGAGGUUGUUCCAAAAAUUUGGAGCAUGUUGAGAACCAAGGCGCAGGUACAGGGAGAAGUGUGUUUAUGAGUGGUGUUCAUGAGGUUGCAAUCUUCAAUUCACCUCACCUUAGAUUUAGGCUAAUCAGAUUUUUUAAGUCUAGUUCUUUGACACCCUUUUGAAAAUUAAAUAUUAAUGACCUGCUACAACAGCUGGUGUCAUGGUACAGACUGGCACUGGGCUCUGUGCCUUUGGGCUUAAGCCUUCUAAUAAAUCUCACAAGUAUUUAUUUGCUUGUUGCUGCAUACAGUGGAUGAGGUGAAGCAUAAGUAGUGGCAUUCCAUAGAGGGAGUGAGUAAAACUGUGCCUUUAGACAUACCAAAUUAAGUUCACUUUGUGAAGUUUCAUUUUGGAAAAGUCCUUUGGUGUUCUUCCUGGUGCAGAGUUAGCAGGGAAUGAACUGGGGCAGCUGAGGCAACAUUUGGCUUGAAGGGUAAGAGCUGCCAACAGCUGAGUGCCUCAGGGAAACACAGCCUAGUCAGUUCUGCCUUGGCAUGGGGACAACCUCCAGCUAAAACUGAAGUUACUUCCCUCAGCAAAUAGGUGUUGCUGAAGAAUACAAUUAAAACAAACAAAAAAAAACCAUCCCUCUUUGUGUAGGACAUCAUAAUUACAAAUAAGACAUUUAUUUUUAUGGAAGAAUUAUUCAAGGAUCAUGAAACAGAAAAUAAGCCAGCUUGAGAAUGUUGGAAAGUGUUACACCGGAAACAUUGAUAUAAAUGUAGCAAAUUGUGGAAAACAUGAAAUUAGGUAAAGUGCUCCAUUUUCAGUCAUAUCAGUAGGACCAUUAGCAGCAAUUAGGAAACAGCAGAAUUUAGGGUAUUAAAAAUGAAGAGGAAAUAAAUACAUUUAGUAUUUUUUUCUGAAAUACAAACUAUUUGGAAAGCCCUCAGUGUCCUCCAUCGCAAGGAGUUGUGCAUGUAUUAAGAAAGAGAGGCAGGGCUUGUGUGCUGUAAUUGAAAUUUAACACUGGCAACGAGGAAAGUCAGCAAAGUAUCUGCAGCACAGAUAGGCACUGUUUGCAUGCAUGGCUUAUGCAGUGGUCCUCUCCUUUUAGUAACCCAUCCAGCAUU